GUGGGUGAUCUACCUUGGGCAUGGGGAUAGCCAUUAGAAAUAGUGGGUAAUACCGAAUACGUUCGUUACCGUGGAGGGUAACGAGGAAAGGCGCUACGGCGCCGGCCCUGGAGAUGAGCUUGCGUCUGAUUAGCUAGUUGGUGAGGUAAUGGCUCACCAAGGCGAUGAUCGGUAGCCGGCCUGAGAGGGUGUACGGCCACACUGGGACUGAGAUACGGCCCAGACUCCUACGGGAGGCAGCAGCUAAGAAUAUUCCGCAAUGGACGAAAGUCUGACGGAGCGACGCCGCGUGGAUGAUGAAGGCCGAAAGGUUGUAAAGUCCUUUUGCUGGGGAAGAAUAAGUCUGGGAGGGAAUGCCCGGAUGAUGACAUGAACCGGCGAAUAAGCCCCGGCUAACUACGUGCCAGCAGCCGCGGUAACACGUAGGGGGCGAGCGUUGUUCGGAAUUACUGGGCGUAAAGGGCAUGUAGGCGGCUUUGUAAGCUUGGCGUGAAAUUCCACGGCUUAACCGUGGGAAUGCGUUGAGAACUGGCGAGGCUUGAGUGACGGAGAGGGAGCUAGAAUUCCUGGUGUAGGGGUGGAAUCUGUAGAGAUCAGGAAGAAUACCAAUGGCGAAGGCAAGCUCCUGGCCGAUGACUGACGCUGAGGUGCGAAAGUGUGGGGAUCAAACAGGAUUAGAUACCCUGGUAGUCCACACUGUAAACGAUGUACACUAGGUGCUGGGGCGGAUGCUUCAGUGCCGUAGCUAACGUGAUAAGUGUACCGCCUGGGGAGUAUGCUCGCA
rnacentral:rRNA from 1 species